UGUUCUUUUAGCUCCAUCAUCUCUCCUCACUCGGAGCCGUCGACGUCCUCGGCCCUGUCGUCUUUCACCCCAAACCUAAUCUCUGGAUGUCGCCGCUGGCGAUAAUCUCAAGAGGGCAUAUUUUGGUAAACUAUCCUCCUACUACUAUUCACGGCCACAUCAGCAUCAGGGUCAUCACGUCGGAGUGCACCCCUCGGUCAAUGUCGAUUCCGCAAAGGUCAGAUGGUGCAGAUCGAGUAUCAUGCCAUCCCGUAUGAGUCGGGACAGCGUCGACCGAGUACAACGUCGUCCCAUAAAGAUCAGAUUGGCGCCAACCAGUAUAGCAUCGUUCCGCGAAGGUCGGGACGAUGUCGAUCGAGUACAACGUCGUUCUACGAAGGUCGGGACGAUGCCAACCAAGUACGACGUCGACAAUCAUAAAUAUGACAGGUACGGUUGGUCCCUCGGGGGAAGGAUAAAAACCCCUCGUGGGGGCAACAACAGAGGUGGUUGAUUUUUCACUCAAUUCUAACAAGAUCUUCGGAGGGGUCGAAAUCAGGAGCCCCCUUCCCGACCCCGACCUGUGUGCAGGGUCCGUUGGCAGAAAGGAGGCAGUCAGUCAAAGGGAGUUUCCCGACUUCGGAGCCCAAUCCCGACCUCACCAAAGCACGAUCGUCGUCAACUGAAUGUCGACGUGGACGAUCCUACGCAUUCGAGACCGAACCAAGCCAUGUUGACUCCAUUUGCCACGGUGUGAAGGAUCCUUAUCAGAUACUAAACUACCUAUAAGUCCCUAUAGAAAACUCUGAUUUGUUCAAAACUUAUUUCAUUAGAAACCAGACUCAUAGAUUCUUUUUUUGAUACCUAGAUCGAAAGAUUUGGAGUCCAAAUAUCUACCCAGUUUUUUAUUGAAAUCGACCCUAUGAAUUCUACGAAAUAGAGAUUUUGAUCUCUGAUAUUUAGUUAUCGAAUUAUUUGUAACUUUCUGUUGGAAACUUUGAUUUAUAUUAAACUUAUUUUAUCUGAAAGUAGAUUGAAAUAUUUUUAUAAUAUAUUUUCGAGUAAAUUAGAGCAUAAUUGAUUAUUUAAAUAAUUCAUUGUGCCUCUCAAAUUUUGUCAGAAAUCAAACUUUGAUCGAUUUCAUUUAUUUUUAUUUUAUUUCCUUUGGAAAUUGAUUUAUCUAACAUUCUUUCUUCAAAUUAGCUUUAUAUUACUGCUUUAAAUUCUUGAAUGCUUUUGUUUUGUAUGGGCACAUAUAUGUUCCGUUGUUUCGCAUGUGCUUUCGAUGUGUUAAAAUUCUUAUAUACUCGUCUUUUUAUUUUCUUUUAAAUUUGAAUGCAUUUAUGAAAAGCACAUGUACGUUUUGUUGUUCUGCAUGUGCUUCUGAUAUGUGUCAAUUUGUACUCUGGUGUUUGUGGGAGUAUUUGGACCUUUGCUAGAAAUGGAAAAAAGAUUAUGCUUAGAGCCCACGAUGCUUUGCCAGCCUCUUUGACUUCACCUAGAUGUGGGUGGAUGGGGCUCCUACACGUGGGAGAUUUUUGUUUGGUGGUCAUCUAGAAAUGGAUGAAUCAUAUUUUGUCUGUAAUCUCAUUACACCUAUAUGUUUGAAUGCAACGUCAAAUAUGACGUUUGAACUUUUAUUUCGUAUUUGUUCUUUGAUAUGCUUCCAAAUAGUUCAUAUGUCGUUGAUAUGUUCUGAAAUAUUUUAUAUUCUA